GGUACCUGUGUUGUACCUACCGUACUACGCCCGAACAAAAUUAUUUACAACGUGGAAUUGGGCUAUACUAUAAUAAAUCUAGUAAGAUAUUUAGAUCUACCAGUGCCCAAAAGAUUCCUUUUAGUUAUAUUUUGUGUAUGAGCAGAACUGAGAUUUACCUACGAUAUCCAUGUAUCACUACUGCACACUGUGCCCCGGUGUAUGUAUCUUGUCAUCGGCUGAUUCACAUGUCUGCAAGGUCCCGAAGUUGGAUCAAAAAAAUAGGCAAGGAGCGAAUAGAUAGCAGAAGCUGUUUCAAAUCAAGUAAACUGUCUGAGUGCCAUGAUGAUGAUCAUUUUCAUCAGCUCCAUUGGAAGAGCAAAUUUGUCAUGAAGACAAACAACUGUUAUGGAUAGGAUUAUAGUAAAAGUGUUGUCAAGUCAAGGUUGCAGCAGUGCUUUAUUCUACGCCUUCGUGUCCAACAAAUAUGUGGAACCCGGUUAACUUAAGCUUAACAAACAAAUAAUUCUUGCAUGCUAAAACAUUUGAAGGAAACGUAGUUAUGUCAAUUUUUCGUCACUUGGCGAGUCUUCCGCAGAAGAAAUAAAUAAACUUUAAAUAGCAACGAAAGCAACAACUAUGAUUGCACCUGUGUCUGUGUGCAUUAUGUUGACACAUUCCUGUCUCAAAGCUGUAGAGCCAGGAUAAAAUUUAGCACCUCUUCCGAAUUGAUUCUAUACUUUUUCCAUUUCUUGAAUGUCAGUACAUUUUAGCAGUCAUUUGAACAAAUGAAUAUUAGUUAUUUUUGCAAUACAAAUUUUCAAAAAAAUAAAAUGUUAAAUAUGUA